rnacentral:rRNA from 1 species
UGGGGAAUUUUCCGCAAUGGGCGAAAGCCUUACGGAGCAAUGCCGCGUGGAGGUGGAAGGCCUACGGGUCGUCAACUUCUUUUCUCGGAGAAGAAACAAUGACGGUAUCUGAGGAAUAAGCAUUGGCUAACUCUGUGUCCAG